AGAUGCAGGACUAUAAAUAGGAAGGGUUGAGCUUGCAGAGAUCAGAGUCUCUCUAAUGAGACCUCUGCAGCACAGGGAUCCAGACAUGGCACUUAAAAUCACUACAACCAUGACCAACUCUCUGGAGCAUCUGAUUCUGAACCACAAGGUCAAAACACCUCUAGUUAAAACGGUGGGGAUUCAGCAGCAUCAAGAAACUCAAGUCUCCUCUGUUCUUCAAAGCUGCCAGACUUGAAGCUUUUCUGAGAUGACUGCAAGCAUCCAGCCGUGGGCUCAGCAGCUGCUGAUCAGGGCUACUGCCGAUGCGUCCGGGAGGUUGGCCCUUCCUUUCAGAGCUCCAGAAAAGACUGUUAAACCCCCUUCAACAAGACGUGAUCUGAGGAGAACCUGAGGAAGGUGUAGCUGUCUUUAAAUUCGGACUACCACCUUCAGUAAAGAAAGGGGACCAGAAAAACAGCGCACCUUAGAGGUGUUGGAAGAGACUUACAGACUGGAUUCACUCAAAGACAUUUACUUUGCCAUAAUGGUAAAUAAUCAUUUGACUGAAUUAUAUUACGUUCUACGGACUUCCUUCUGAUGAACAGAAGACUUAUCUUUUGCAUUUAUUAUGCAUUUAAUUACCUUUCCUGUGGAAAAAUUAAUAAUAAUGUAUUUUUGGUAAAGAAAUAUGUGUACAUAGAAAAAAAUCUGAUUGCAUCUGCAAUUAUAGUUCCUUUGUGAUUUCAUUAUCACUGUAGAUUUCUGAUCAAAAUGAUCAAAUCUAAAAUCUUCUUACUCCUUUUCUAGGGAUAAGAUAUAUCAGUUAACUUAAACUGAGUAAGUCAAAGAUCUUUUUUGAGAUCUGAAUGAUCAUUAAUUGUUAAUGAUUUUACUGAAUUUGUGAAAUUCAAAAGAAUUUGAGGGAAAAACCUUUAUUCUUCUUAUUAGAACAUCAGCUGUUGUUACACAACAAAAAUAUUUGGGAUGGUUAAGGAAAAUUAAAGAAGACCAUAUUGGUUGAAGUGAACUUGAACAAACAUUUAAGAUCAUUUAAUUUGUUCAUCUGAAUAUCUUUUUGAUUGUUUCUUAGAUUUUCUGAGGAAUUGUGAAUAUCUCCCAUGACGAUAAGAAAACAUCUAUCUCAUAAUAGACCAUGUUGGUUUAAUUCAUACAGCAGACUUAUUUUUUCUGUAUCUACAGGAAGUUCAUUAACCACUUUCUUUCUAGAAGUUAUUAUAUUCCUUUUAAUAGAAAGGAGAUAUAUUCAAUCAAAGGCUUUCUUAUUGUAAAGAUUCCUUUGUGAAAUGUACUGAAUUGUGAUGCAUGACUAUGAACAUCUGAUCUGUUCUAAGGUCAGGUUUUUUAUUUGCCACUUCUGUGAAGUGCAGAUUUAAUACCAACGAUGUUUUCUAUGAAAAGAAAAAAAAUUUCUCGUGAUGAUUUAAGUCUUUUGUAAAGAUGGUCGUUCCUCCACUCACUAUGAGUAAAAUGUCUUGGAGAGUUAUCCAAGGAUCGUUCUGAUGUAUCAUCAUGCAUUUUGUCAUACGUUUUGAAUGACUUUGUUUUUAUUAAAAACAAAACUGCAACAAAAACCAA